GACGAACGCUGGCGGCGUGCUUAACACAUGCAAGUCGAACGGUGAACCUCUUCGGAGGGGAUCAGUGGCGAACGGGUGAGUAACACGUGGGCAACCUGCCCCCGGCUCUGGGAUAACUCCAAGAAAUUGGGGCUAAUACCGGAUGUUCACCGCUUCCCGCAUGGGUGGUGGUGGAAAGGGUUUCCGGCUGGGGAUGGGCCCGCGGCCUAUCAGCUUGUUGGUGGGGUAGUGGCCUACCAAGGCGACGACGGGUAGCCGGCCUGAGAGGGUGACCGGCCACACUGGGACUGAGACGCGGCCCAGACUCCUCCGGGAGGCAGCAGUGGGGUAUAUUGCGCAAUGGGCGGAAGCCUGACGCAGCGACGCCGCGUGGGGUAUGACGGCCUUCGGGUUGUAAACCUCUUUCCGCAGGGACGAAGCGCAAGUGACGGUACCUGCAGAAGAAGCACCGGCCAACUACGUG
rnacentral:rRNA from 1 species